GACGAACGCUGGCGGCGUGCUUAACACAUGCAAGUCGAACGGAAAGGCUCCAGCUUGCUGGCGUACUCGAGUGGCGAACGGGUGAGUAACACGUGGGAAUCUGCCCUGCACUCUGGGAUAAGCCUGGGAAACUGGGUCUAAUACUGGAUAUGACCUUUCUCCUUAUGGGGUUUGGUGGAAAGUUUUUCGGUGUAGGAUGAGCCCGCGGCCUAUCAGCUUGUUGGUGGGGUGAUGGCUUACCAAGGCGACGACGGGUAGCCGGCCUGAGAGGGUGAUCGGCCACAUUGGGACUGAGAUACGGCCCAGACUCCUACGGGAGGCAGCAGUGGGGAAUAUUGCACAAUGGGCGGAAGCCUGAUGCAGCGACGCCGCGUGAGGGAUGACGGCCUUCGGGUUGUAAACCUCUUUCAGCAGGGACGAAGCGUAAGUGACGGUACCUGCAGAAGAAGCACCGGCUAACUAUGUG
rnacentral:rRNA from 1 species